AUUCAUCCCUGAGCACAUCAUAAAAUUCGAACAAUACAGAGAAGAUGACCGUGGACCCUGCGCAACAAUGACGUCCAAAUUCGUGAGGCGUUCCAAAUUUUU
rnacentral:snRNA from 1 species